GGGGGUGUAGCUCAUCGGUUAGAGCAGGCGGCUCAUAACCACUUGGUAGAAGGUUCGAUUCCUUCCACCCCCACCA
rnacentral:tRNA from 1 species